rnacentral:rRNA from 1 species
CGUGCUUAACACAUGCAAGUCGAACGAAGAAGGUUAGAAUGAGAGCUUCGGCAGGAUUUCUUUCCAUCUUAGUGGCGGACGGGUGAGUAACGUGUGGGCAACCUGCCCUGUACUGGGGAAUAAUCAUUGGAAACGAUGACUAAUACCGCAUGUGGUCCUCGGAAGGCAUCUUCUGAGGAAGAAAGGAUUUAUUCGGUACAGGAUGGGCCCGCAUCUGAUUAGCUAGUUGGUGAGAUAACAGCCCACCAAGGCGACGAUCAAUAGCCGACCUGAGAGGGUGAUCGGCCACAUUGGGACUGAGACACGGCCCAAACUCCUACGGGAGGCAGCAGUGGGGAAUAUUGCACAAUGGGCGAAAGCCUGAUGCAGCAACGCCGCGUGAAGGAUGAAGGGUUUCGGCUCGUAAACUUCUAUCAAUAGGGAAGAAACAAAUGACGGUACCUAAAUAAGAAGCCCCGGCUAACUACGUGCCAGCAGCCGCGGUAAUACGUAGGGGGCAAGCGUUAUCCGGAAUUACUGGGUGUAAAGGGAGCGUAGGCGGCAUGGUAAGCCAGAUGUGAAAGCCUUGGGCUUAACCCGAGGAUUGCAUUUGGAACUAUCAAGCUAGAGUACAGGAGAGGAAAGCGGAAUUCCUAGUGUAGCGGUGAAAUGCGUAGAUAUUAGGAAGAACACCAGUGGCGAAGGCGGCUUUCUGGACUGAAACUGACGCUGAGGCCUCGAAAGCGUGGGGAAGCAAACAGGAUUAGAUACCCUGGUAGUCCACGCCGUAAACGAUGAGUGCUAGGUGUCGGGGAGGAAUCGUCGGUGCCGCAGCUAACGCAAUAAGCACUCCGCCUGGGGAGUACGACCGCAAGGUUGAAACUCAAAGGAAUUGACGGGGGCCCGCACAAGCGGUGGAGCAUGUGGUUUAAUUCGAAGCAACGCGAAGAACCUUACCAAGGCUUGACAUCCCGAUGACCGUCCUAGAGAUAGGACUUGUGUUUGGAGCAUCGGUGACAGGUGGUGCAUGGUUGUCGUCAGCUCGUGUCGUGAGAUGUUGGGUUAAGUCCCGCAACGAGCGCAACCCUUAUCUUCAGUAGCCAUCAUUCAGUUGGGCACUCUGGAGAGACUGCCGUGGAUAACACGGAGGAAGGUGGGGAUGACGUCAAAUCAUCAUGCCCCUUAUGUCUUGGGCUACACACGUGCUACAAUGGUUGGUAACAAAGUGACGCAAGACGGCGACGUUAAGCAAAUCACAAAAACCCAGUCCCAGUUCGGAUUGUAGUCUGCAACUCGAGUACAUGAAGCUGGAAUCGCUAGUAAUCGAGAAUCAGCAUGUCGCGGUGAAUACGUUCCCGGGCCUUGUACACACCGCCCGUCACACCAUGGGAGUUGGAAGCACCCGAAGUCGGUGACCUAACCGUAAGGAAGGAGCCGCCGAAGGUGAAGCCAGUGACUGGGGUGA